rnacentral:rRNA from 1 species
AUUGAACGCUAGCGGCAGGCCUAACACAUGCACGUCGAACGAGUGGCGGACGGGUGAGUAAUGUCUGGGAAACUUCCUGAUGGCGGGGGCUAACUACUGGAAACUGUAGCUUAUACCGCAUACCAUCGGAUGUGCCCAUAUGGGAUUAGCUAGUAGGUGGGGUAAAGUCUCACCAAGGCGACGAUCCCUAGCUGGUCUGAGAGGAUGAUCAGCCACACUGUAACGGAGACACGGCCCAGACUCCUACGGGAGGCAGCAGUGGGGAAUAUUGCACAAUGGGCGCAAGCCUGAUGCAGCCAUGCCGCGUGUAUGAAGAAGGCCUUCGGGUUGUAAAGUACUUUCAGCGGGGAGGCGUUACCCGCAGAAGAAGCACCGGCUAACUCCGUGCCAGCAGCCGCGGUAAUAC